rnacentral:rRNA from 1 species
GACGAACGCUGGCGGCGUGCUUGACACAUGCAAGUCGAACGGUAAGGCCCUUCGGGGUACACGAGUGGCGAACGGGUGAGUAACACGUGGGUGAUCUGCCCUGCACUUCGGGAUAAGCCUGGGAAACUGGGUUUAAUACCGGAUAGGACCACUGCCUGCAUGGGUGGUGGUGGAAAGCUUUUGCGGUGUGGGAUGGGCCCGCGGCCUAUCAGCUUGUUGGUGGGGUGAUGGCCUACCAAGGCGACGACGGGUAGCCGGCCUGAGAGGGUGACCGGCCGCACUGGGACUGAGAUACGGCCCAGACUCCUACGGGAGGCAGCAGUGGGGAAUAUUGCACAAUGGGCGCAAGCCGGAUGCAGCGACGCCGCGUGAGGGAUGACGGCCUUCGGGUUGUAAACCUCUUUCAGCACCGACGAAGCGCAAGUGACGGUAGGUGCAGAAGAAGGACCGGCCAACUACGUGCAGCCGCCGCGGUAA